UGAUUGGUGCAACAGUCUGGAAGAGU
rnacentral:piRNA from 1 species